rnacentral:rRNA from 1 species
UUACCUACGGGGCGCAGCAGUGAGGAAUAUUGGUCAAUGGGCGAGAGCCUGAACCAGCCAAGGCGCGUGAAGGAUGACGGCCCUACGGGUUGUAAACUUCUUUUGUCAGGGAGCAAUUGGGUCCACGCGUGGGCUUAGCGAGAGUACCUGAAGAAAAAGCAUCGGCUAACUCCGUGCCAGCAGCCGCGGUAAUACGGAGGAUGCGAGCGUUAUCCGGAUUUAUUGGGUUUAAAGGGUGCGUAGGCGGAUUUUUAAGUCAGCGGUAAAAUGUCCGGGCUCAACCCGGGCCGGCCGUUGAAACUGGG